rnacentral:rRNA from 1 species
AGUGAACGCUGGCGGCAGGCCUAAUACAUGCAAGUCGAACGGCAGCACAGCAGAGCUUGCUCUGUGGGUGGCGAGUGGCGGACGGGUGAGGAAUACAUGGGAAUCCGCCCAGUCGUGGGGGAUAACGUAUGGAAACGUACGCUAAUACCGCAUGCGCCCUAAGGGGGAAAGCCGGGGACCGCAAGGCCUGGCGCGAUUGGAUGAGCCCAUGUUCGAUUAGCUAGUUGGCGGGGUAAAGGCCCACCAAGGCGACGAUCGAUAGCUGGUCUGAGAGGAUGAUCAGCCACACUGGAACUGAGACACGGUCCAGACUCCUACGGGAGGCAGCAGUAGGGAAUAUUGGACAAUGGGGGCAACCCUGAUCCAGCCAUGCCGCGUGAGUGAA